UCUUGAUCAAUCAUGAAUUUGUUAACUAAAUCAUUGAUUGGCAUCUAUCUUGCUAUGGUGUAUGUGCUUUAGCAUUUAUUUAUCUCCAUUGAUGUGAAUUCUGGUUUGUUUCCUAAUUACAACCGUUUGAUACAUUUAAUUCAGCUUGAUUAACUCCUAUGGGGAUCAUAUUUGUGUUAUGUUUCCUAACAGAGCCCAGUGCCAGGCACCCUUCCAAUUUGUUAUAGGCUACCUGUCUCUUCCUGUCUUCCAUACUUGCAAGGCAGACCCGGUGUUGGCAGCUCCCACAUGAGUGGGGUCUGGGGAAGGGAUAAACCGAGGCAAGCCUUCCCCCCACACCGCAAAUGCGGAGAGGCUGCUUCGAACUCGCGACUUGAUGACUCAAUGAGACAGCUCUCGCCACUGCACCAGGCCUGCCCUUCACACUUCUACACAAUAAAUAGCACUAGAUUAAAGCGUGCCUCUAUAAGCUUAGUCGCUUCUGGAAGUUUGAUCAAGCCCCAUUAGGGUGUCUAGUCUGUAGUUGUUUAGUAAUGAAAAUUUGCUUGCUUCAACUUUAUGUUGGAGGUGCUUCUUCUAUGCAUGUCUACAUUAUUGUCCAUUCCUUUUUCUGUGGGGUCAAUGUGAAGUUCUACCGACUAAUUUGCAUUGUGAUCGUAAUGAACAGAUGUACUAGGCACUAACUUUUGCUGAAAAAAUAUCACUAACAUUUCUUUGA